UUUUAGCCCCGGUAGUAGUGAAACCCCUUUACAGGCUGAAAACCACUUUUUUCUGGUUGUGGCAGUGCGACUAAAAGAAGCGCCUGCCACCACCUAGAAAAAGAGUUUGAAGACAGAAAGGGUGCAACGGAUAACGGGAGUUAGC
rnacentral:sRNA from 1 species